rnacentral:rRNA from 1 species
GACGAACGCUGGCGGCGUGCUUAACACAUGCAAGUCGAACGGAAAGGCCCUGCUUGCAGGGUGCUCGAGUGGCGAACGGGUGAGUAACACGUGGGUGAUCUGCCCCUUACUUUGGGAUAAGCCUGGGAAACUGGGUCUAAUACUGGAUAGGACCAUGCUGUAGGUGGUGUGGUGGAAAGAUUAGUUUCGGUAAGGGGUGAGCUCGCGGCCUAUCAGCUUGUUGGUGGGGUAAUGGCCUACAAAGGCGUCGACGGGUGGCCGGCCGGAGAGGGGGGACGGCCACAUUGUGGCUGCGAUACGGCCCAGACGCCUACGGGGGGCAGCAGUGGGGAAGAAUGCUCAAUGGGCGCAAGCCUGAUGCAGCGACGCCGCGUGGGGGGUGACGGCCUUCGGGUUGUAAACUCCUUUCAGCCAUGACGAAGCCCUUGUGGUGACGGUAGUGGUAGAAGAAGCACCGGCUAACUACGUG